rnacentral:rRNA from 1 species
UCCCAAAACUAACUCACUAGAGUACGAUAGAGGGAGGUAGAAUUCAUAGUGUAGCGGUGGAAUGCGUAGAUAUUAUGAAGAAUACCAGUGGCGAAGGCGGCCUCCUGGAUCUGUACUGACACUGAGGUGCGAAAGCGUGGGUAGCGAACAGGAUUAGAUACCCUGGUAGUCCACGCCGUAAACGAUGACAACUAGCUGUUAGGAGACUAUGUCUUUUAGUGGCGCAGCUAACGUUUUAAGUUGUCCGCCUGGGGAGUACGGCCGCAAGGCUAAAACUCAAAUGAAUUGACGGGGACCCGCACAAGCAGUGGAUCAUGUGGUUUAAUUCGAUGCAACGCGAAAAACCUUACCUACUCUUGACAUACUUGGAAGCUCUUGUAAUGAGAGUGUGCUUUUAAGAACCAAGAUACAGGUGCUGCAUGGCUGUCGUCAGCUCGUGUCGUGAGAUGUUCCGUUAAGUCGGAUAACGAGCGCAACCCUUACCCUUAUUUGCCAGCGAUUCGGUCGGGAACUAUAAGGGGACUGCCGGUGAUAAACCGGAGGAAGGUGAGGACGACGUCAAGUCAUCAUGGCCCUUACGAGUAGGGCUACACACGUGAUACAAUGGGAGAGACAGACGGACGCUAAGCCGCGAGGUGGUGCUAAUCCUAGAAACUCUCUCGUAGUCCGGAUUGGAGUCUGCAACUCGACUCCAUGAAGUUGGAAUUGCUAGUAAUCGCGGAUCAGCAUGCCGCGGUGAAUACGUUCUCGGGUCUUGUACACACCGCCCGUCACACCAUGGAAGUGGAUUGCACCAGAAGUAGAUAGUCUAACCUUAGGGAAGGCCUUUACCACGGUGUGCUUCAUGA